rnacentral:tRNA from 1 species
GGGCCGGUCGUCUAGCUGGCUAGGAUAACCGCCUGACACGCGGUUGGUCCCCGGUUCGAGUCCGGGCCGGCCCA